UACGGGAGGCAGCAGUGGGGAAUAUUGCACAAUGGGCGCAAGCCUGAUGCAGCCAUGCCGCGUGUAUGAAGAAGGCCUUCGGGUUGUAAAGUACUUUCAGUCGUGAGGAAGGUGUUAAGGUUAAUAACCUUAGCAAUUGACGUUAGCGACAGAAGAAGCACCGGCUAACUCCGUGCCAGCAGCCGCGGUAAUACGGAGGGUGCGAGCGUUAAUCGGAAUUACUGGGCGUAAAGGGCACGCAGGCGGUUAAUAAGUUGGAUGUGAAUCCCCGGGCUUAACCUGGGAAUGGCAUUCAAGACUGGUUAGCUAGAGUCUUGUAGAGGGGGUAGAAUUCCAUGUGUAGCGGUGAAAUGCGUAGAGAUGUGGAGGAAUACCGGUGGCGAAGGCGGCCCCUGGGACAAAGACUGACGCUCAUGUGCGAAAGCGUGGGGAGCAAACAGGAUUAGAUACC
rnacentral:rRNA from 1 species